rnacentral:rRNA from 1 species
CCUACGGGCGGCAGCAGUGAGGAAUAUUGGUCAAUGGCCGGAAGGCUGAACCAGCCAAGCCGCGUGAAGGACGAAGGUGCCAAGCAUUGUAAACUUCUUUUGUCAAGGGACAAAAUCAGGCUCGAGAGCCUGACCGAGGGGACUUGAAGAAAAAGCAUCGGCUAACUCCGUGCCAGCAGCCGCGGUAAGACGGAGGAUGCGAGCGUUAUCCGGUUUUAUUGGGUGUAAAGGGUGCGUAGGCGGACUGUAAAGGCAGCGGUAAAAGCCCGGGGGUCAACCCCGGCGAGCCGUUGAAACUGGCGGUCUUGAGAUGUCGAGAGGUAUGCGGAAUGCGCAGUGUAGCGGUGAAAUGCUUAGAUAUUGCGCAGAACUCCGAUUGCGAAGGCAGCAUACCGGCGGCGAUCUGACGCUGAGGCACGAAAGCGUGGGUAUCGAACAGGAUUAGAUACCCGUGUAGUC